rnacentral:rRNA from 1 species
AUACGGAGGGUGCAAGCGUUGUUCGGAAUUACUGGGCGUAAAGCGCGUGCAGGCGGUAAGGUAAGUCAGAUGUGCAAGCCCCGGGCUCAACCCGGGAAGUGCAUUUGAUACUGCCUUUCUUGAGUAUGGGAGAGGAGAGUGGAAUUCCCAGUGUAGAGGUGAAAUUCGUAGAUAUUGGGAGGAACACCCGUGGCGAAGGCGACUCUCUGGACCAAUACUGACGCUGAGACGCGAAAGCGUGGGGAGCGAACAGGAUUAGAAACCCCGGUAGUCC